UCCCCAUUCCCUCCCCAACCCCUGCCCAAUUUAUUGUGCUGGGCACUUUGUAGUCCUUUUUUCUAGUUUUUUUACUAUUGAACAAAUUACCCCAAAUACAGUAGCUUAAAUUUGAGGAGGAUUCAGCUGGGCAGCUUUCUGUUGGGAUCUCUCAUGCAGCUGCAGUCAGGUAUUGGCUGAGGUUAUAGUCAUCUGAAGGCUUGACUGGGUCAUGUCACCAAUACAUUGUUUUGUUGCAUCCAAUAAUAAAUUCUGUCUUCAUUUUGCAAUCCCGUCCUUGACCUGACUUAGGGACCACGGGCUGCAGCCUCCAGACGUCAGCCAUGUUUCCAACAGUCAGACGCCCCGAGAGGCUCACCUCAAAGCGCUGCGCACGAGGCCGGGCUCCCGGGACGCAAGCCUCUAGAAGGCGCGCGAGAGGCCCCGCCCCCGCCCGCCGGCCCCACUCACCAGCUCCGCCCCCACCUCCCCACCCACCAGCCCUGCCCCUCAUGCCCCGCCAAUAAGGCCCCAUAUUUUAUUAUACUGGAACAGCUCAUGCCCUUGGUCUCUUGCCUUGGCACCAAGGUGGCUUGCCACCCACAGCCUCUCGAGUAGCUGGGAUUACAGCCAUGUGCCACCAUGGGUUUAAUCCCAUAUAGAGCACAUCUGUACUAAACGCAUUAGAAACGUGCUUGCAAUUGGAUCUUGACUUGUGAGAUGCAUAA
rnacentral:lncRNA from 1 species